rnacentral:rRNA from 1 species
UACGGGGGGGGCAAGCGUUGUUCGGAAUUACUGGGCGUAAAGGGCGCGUAGGCGGCCUGCUAAGUCGGGUGUGAAAACUCUGGGCUCAACCCAGAGCCUGCAUUCGAUACUGACGGGCUAGAGUUCUGGAGGGGAAAGCGGAAUUCCUGGUGUAGCGGUGAAAUGCGUAGAUAUCAGGAGGAACACCGGUGGCGAAGGCGGCUUUUUGGACAGAAACUGACGCUGAGGCGCGAAAGCUAGGGGAGCAAACAGG